rnacentral:tRNA from 1 species
AAGGAAGUAGCUUAACAGGUAAAGCAGUAUGUGAGAGGUAGCAUAGCUGAAAGACGUUCGACUCGUCGUGAAUAGUGGUAUUUCUGAUGUAGGUUCAACUCCUACCUUCCUUU